rnacentral:rRNA from 1 species
UACGGAGGGUGCAAGCGUUAUUCGGAAUGACUGGGCGUAAAGAGCACGUAGGCGGCUUAUUAAGUCUGAUGUGAAAGCCCCGAACUCAAUUUGGGAAGUGCAUUGGAUACUGGUAAGCUAGAGUAUAGGAGAGGAGAGUGGAAUUCCAGGUGUAGAGGUGAAAUUCGUAGAUAUCUGGAGGAACAACGGAGGCGAAGGCGACUCUCUGGACUAUUACUGACGCUGAGGUGCGAAAGCGUGGGGAGCGAACAGG